GCUGUUUUGAAUAGCACCCGUGUCGAACCAGUGACUUUGGGUCAAUACACCAGUUGGCUAUCCUCUGCCUUUUCCUUUUUUAAGGAAUGGGUGGGAGUGGGCAUUUUUGGUGCUAUGUGUUGCUUCGGUGUUGUGCUUUGUCUGUGGCUUUUCUGUCUCCUAAGAGCUCGCCAUAGCCAAGAAAAGGCUAUGAUCGUCCAGGCUUUUGCAGCCCUAGAGAAUGGUAUCUCUCCACAAGUUUGGCUUGCGCAACUUAAGCAAUAAUUUCCUGGGUUUUGGCCAUUGCACCCCAAGUUAUCUUUGACAUUGCACUGGGAUUGGCAUGCCCUCCUCUUCCUGCUUUCCCAGUUAUGGAAGGCCCAUGCACUCUGCAGGCCUUGUUGCCAUUGCACGCAGAUGGGCUUCCAUGCUGGUGCUGCACUUUAUGCUUUGGACCCUUCGUUUUCUCAGGGGCUGAGAGACGGUGUUGCCACUUCCAACCUCAUAGUCACUGACCGGCUACUUGUAAAAUCCCCCUUCCUUUUCGCCGUCAUCACGAUGCAGGAUGCGAGGCAAGGCACUG
rnacentral:lncRNA from 1 species